UGCAGGAACAAGAGAAAGAAGCCAGACUGUGAUAGAAUCAAAAUCGACAGAGAUCAGAGAUCCUAGACUGUGUUUGGAUGCCAAUUCUAGCUCACUGAAUAAUACACAGUCUUUCAAAAACAAACCACGACUGAUGUGAGACCCUUCCCUUGAGCAAGGCACCGAACACCCCACUGCUUCCUGGGCACCACAGCAAUAUGGCUGCCCACUGCUCCAGAGAAACUAUUUUGGCCUUCCAAAAGAUGACGAUAUCUGCUUCGUCAUACCUACAGUAGCUGAUCUGUGCUGGUCGCUGAGGAAAUACAUCAACUCGCUGUGGAUCGCUGGAUUGGAUUUCACCCUGGACGAAGCAGAGUCCAGCCCGGGGUCGUCACAUUUGGGGCCGUGGAUUGUUCCAUUGUACUAAAAUGGAAGAACACAUGCCACAAUCCAUACUGAAACUGCACAACUGAACAAGAAGGGCAAUUGUCAGCGAAGUGGCCAAGCAGCCAGAACUCUUUGGAUGAAAUGGAAGAAACUGUGGAUGUCUGGACAGUCUCUCAGCGCGUCACAGAUUUGGCUUUUAUGUGUGAGUGGCUAUAAGGAAGCCACUAUUAAAGAAGGCCAACAUGAAGUCACUCAGUUUACCAGAAGACAUAUGACUCUACAUUUAUCUCUUUGUCUCUGUGAGAGAAAAGCUAAC